rnacentral:tRNA from 1 species
GGUCUUGAGGUGUUCGCAUGUUGGAUUGCAAAUCCGAAGGGGCAAUGUAGUAUAUUGCCAAGACCU